CCGAGUCACGUGCUCAAACAACCCUUCUGUGGACCUGAAAUAAACCGUUGCCUCGGCGGGCGGUCCCCUGCCAAAACCCACGUGGUUGUGGACAGAGGACCAGACAGUUCGGCACGCUUAAGGCGUCCGGCGCCAGCCGCUGGCCCUAACCAAUUAAACUCUAGUAACCUUACCUUCUGAGUUUUAAUACAAAAAAAAUAAGUCA
rnacentral:misc_RNA from 1 species